UACGUAGGGUGCGAGCGUUAAUCGGAAUUACUGGGCGUAAAGCGUGCGCAGGCGGUUUGUUAAGUCUGAUGUGAAAGCCCCGGGCUCAACCUGGGAACUGCAUUGGAAACUGGCAAGCUCGAGUAUGGCAGAGGGGGGUGGAAUUCCGCGUGUAGCAGUGAAAUGCGUAGAGAUGCGGCGGAACACCGAUGGCGAAGGCAGCCCCCUGGGCUUAAAUUGACGCUGAGGCACGAAAGCGUGGGGAGCAAACAGG
rnacentral:rRNA from 1 species